CGGGAGGGGCGCGCCAGGUCAGCACGCGGUGACACGUCGGAUGGGAACCGAGGGGGCUUGGCUGGCUGGCUGGCUGGCAGCCUGUGCGCCUCGCAAUUCGUGUGACUGUUGACCCUUGUGGGCCUGAGGUCUAAGGCGUGGCCUGGUCGGUGGCCUGUGCGCGCUUCUCGUUUAGCUCGUGAUCCCGGCGCCACCGCGUCGUCGUGUCGCGGUGCUCUGGGUACAGCCUACAGCAUGCGCGCGGCGCCCGUUCUCCCACGUUCGGCACGGGCUUGUGUUCGGUCUUUGUUUUGCUUUAACGAAAUUUCGGUUUGGAUUUUAGCGACCAAACCGAACCAAAUGCGGUUUUUCACGUGCCUCAGAAAACAUCGCGGAGCACUUUUGCAUUUUUUGCUGGGUCUAGUUUUUCAGGAGUCAGGACUACGUGAAGUUAUAUCGUGGAGCUAAUGUUGUAUGAAUGGAUUUGUUUAGCAGACUUGUAGAGUUGUAGUAGGUGCUGCUGGCCGCACACUCACCACAUCGAAGCCUCAAAGUGUCAAUAGAAUCCACCUCUCCCUUGUUCGGCCGCACUGCCGGCACAUGGUGUGUUUCCAUCUUUUAUAUGUGUCUAUAUGUCCGUGUCUAAAAUCACACAUGGGGACGGGCACCCAAAAAAAUUGCAAUCAUUUGUUUCUAUAACUAUGUGACGGAAAGAGGGGCACCGGUUUUUUUAUGAGCAAAAUCAAGUGGACUAAGAAACAUUGCAGUGCUAGAUUAACUAAAGACAGAUCAGACCAGGACCAACAAUCGAAUGGGUAGCUAAACUAACUUGGGUGCUCCACGGUAAAAACACGUCAACUAUGUACUAAUUUGUGUAUGCAACUAUGCAUUUUGUCUAACUUUUGACCAUUGGUCAAACACGUUGGGGCUUCUUUCUUUUUCUUUUUUGCUUUUGUUAUGGUUCUAAAGUUGAGAUGUGUAGCACAAGGGUCCGGACGCGGAAACACAAAUAGAUUGUGACGGGACCUGCUCUCGUGUUACGGAUGGUAAACAUUUUGUCAUUUUCCUCGCUACAUGCUGGGUAGUUCGAUCUUUAUUGAUAGGGCAUGUUCUCAUUGCAUGAAAAAAAACACCAUCCUUUAGCUUUAGCUUUAGAGUAUACUUCGUCCAUUCCAAAAUAUAAGACACAUAACUUUAGUUGACUGUCAAACUUGUUAAAUUUUGGUCAAGUUUAUAAAUAACAUUUAAAAUCGCAAAUCAAGAUUAGAAGAUCUAUCAUGAAGACCGUUAACAAAAGUUAUAUGUCAUAUAUUUUGAAACAGAGUAACUAUAUGCUUUUAGAGAUGUCUGAUCCCUAGUGAUUUGCUACACUACUGUGAUGUGCAGCUCUUAAUUUCACCAUUUC
rnacentral:lncRNA from 1 species